rnacentral:rRNA from 1 species
GGCGAACGCUGGCGGCGUGCCUAAUACAUGCAAGUUGAGCGCUGAAGGUUGGUACUUGUACCAACUGGAUGAGCAGCGAACGGGUGAGUAACGCGUGGGGAAUCUGCCUUUGAGCGGGGGACAACAUUUGGAAACGAAUGCUAAUACCGCAUAAAAACUUUAAACACAAGUUUUAAGUUUGAAAGAUGCAAUUGCAUCACUCAAAGAUGAUCCCGCGUUGUAUUAGCUAGUUGGUGAGGUAAAGGCUCACCAAGGCGAUGAUACAUAGCCGACCUGAGAGGGUGAUCGGCCACAUUGGGACUGAGACACGGCCCAAACUCCUACGGGAGGCAGCAGUAGGGAAUCUUCGGCAAGAGACGAAAGUCUGACCGAGCAACGCCGCGUGAGUGAAGAAGGUUUUCGGAUCGUAAAACUCUGUUGGUAGAGAAGAACGUUGGUGAGAGUGGAAAGCUCAUCAAGUGACGGUAACUACCCAGAAAGGGACGGCUAACUACGUG